rnacentral:rRNA from 1 species
GACGGAGGGGGCUAGCGUUGUUCGGAAUUACUGGGCGUAAAGCGCACGUAGGCGGCUUUGUAAGUUAGAGGUGAAAGCCCGGGGCUCAACUCCGGAAUUGCCUUUAAGACUGCAUCGCUAGAAUUGUGGAGAGGUAAGUGGAAUUCCGAGUGUAGAGGUGAAAAUUCGUAGAUAUUCGGAAGAACACCAGUGGCGAAGGCGACUUACUGGACACAUAUUGACGCUGAGGUGCGAAAAGCGUGGGGAGCAAACAGGG